rnacentral:rRNA from 1 species
UUCUAGCAUAUAUUAAAAUUGCUGCAGUUAAAACGCUCGUAGUUUGAAUUAUUUUCCAAGGAGCGAUUGGAUGCUGUUGUCAGGGUUGUCACUUAAAUGGGGCGGCCAGGGCGGCGGUAAAAAAAAAAGUCCAGCGCUGUUCUUGCGAAAAAUUUUUAAAAAAAGGCCAAGGGUGAGGACGCUUUAAGUAGGGUCCCAUCCAUUUAACCAUGAACAAAAAUUAUUGCUCAAAGAAGGACGUUCUGUCCAUUGAGAUUUCAGCAUGGGAUUAUGGAAUAGGGGGAAGGCUGCACGAUGCGGGGCGCUCUUUGGAGUCUUGCGCGGGCCCUUCUCAAUGGUUAAUGAGGACGAUUGCGUGGAAGUUCAUAUUAAAAUGUCAGAGGUGAAAUUCUUGGAUUAUUUUAAGAUGAACCUCAGCGAAGGCAUUCUUCAAGUGCGUGCCUGUCAA